rnacentral:rRNA from 1 species
UACAGAGGGGGCAAGCGUUGUUCGGAAUUACUGGGCGUAAAGGGCGCGUAGGCGGCCUGUUAAGUCAGACGUGAAAUCCCCGGGCUCAACCCGGGAACUGCGUCUGAAACUACUCGACUAGAGUACUGGAGAGGGUAACGGAAUUCACGGUGUAGCAGUGAAAUGCGUAGAUAUCGUGAGGAACACCAGAGGCGAAGGCGGUUACCUGGACAGUUACUGACGCUCAGGCACGAAAGCAUGGGGAGCAAAAGGG